CCCUGGGAUUUGAAAACUUGUAAAUAUAUUACGAACGACCCCACUUUAAAUCAAGAUUUCUUUCAGAUCUGCACAUCUUUCCCUUUUUGGCAUGGACUUGUAACGACAGGGGAUGACCCCUUCGGACAACGAAAACAAACCCUAAUGUGGGCAAAGUUGAAAGUCCGAUUAUUUUUAGACCGGAUGGGGGGAGAGGCCAUACAGCACCCAUAUGCGCUCCCACAGCCAUGUUAGGGACAGGAAGAGAACCUCGCCCUAACAUGAGCAAGGUCGAAGGCCUGAUUAUUUGUAGACCGGACGGGAGGAGAGGCCAUACAGCGUCCAUAUGCGCCCCCACAGCCAUGUUAGGGACAGGAGGAGAACCUCGCCCUAACAUGAGCAAGGUCGAAG
rnacentral:lncRNA from 1 species